GACGAACGCUGGCGGCGUGCUUAACACAUGCAAGUCGAACGGAAAGGCCCUGCUUUUGUGGGGUGCUCGAGUGGCGAACGGGUGAGUAACACGUGAGUAACCUGCCCUUGACUUUGGGAUAACUUCAGGAAACUGGGGCUAAUACCGGAUAGGAGCUCCUGCUGCAUGGUGGGGGUUGGAAAGUUUCGGCGGUUGGGGAUGGACGCGCGGCUUAUCAGCUUGUUGGUGGGGUAGUGGCUUACCAAGGGUUUGACGGGUAGCCGGCCUGAGAGGGUGACCGGCCACAUUGGGACUGAGAUACGGCCCAGACUCCUACGGGAGGCAGCAGUGGGGAAUAUUGCACAAUGGGCGGAAGCCUGAUGCAGCAACGCCGCGUGCGGGAUGACGGCCUUCGGGUUGUAAACCGCUUUCGCCUGUGACGAAGCGUGAGUGACGGUAAUGGGUAAAGAAGCACCGGCUAACUACGUG
rnacentral:rRNA from 1 species